rnacentral:tRNA from 4 species
CGGGACGUGGCGCAGCUUGGUAGCGCACCAGACUGGGGGUCUGGGGGUCGCAGGUUCAAAUCCUGUCGUCCCGACAA